CAUGAAGAACUUCUUUAUUGUGAGACUGAUUGAGCAUUGAAACAGAUUUCCCAGAGAUUGUGGGAAUAUCUCCUUCCCUGGAGAUAUUCAGAAGCCAUCUGGACACACUCCUGAGUAACAUGCUCUAGGGGACCCUGCUUGAACAGAGAGGUUGGACUAGAUGACCUCCAGUGGUCCCUUCCCACCUGAACCAUACUGUGACUCUGUGAUUCCAAACCCACAGUCUCAAGCUCUGCUGGCUCAAGGCUAAGUACUGCCUCAGAGCAGGAAGGUGGAGUGUCACCUUGUUCCAGUCUUGUCUCAUGAUUUCCUUGCAAAAUACAGUUCUUUUGCAGUUGUGUAGCUCCAGAUAGCCCCAGGUCUUCUGUCACACAUUACAAGGUAUAUUGCAACCUGUAACAAAAAGACAACUACUUAAUACACAGGAUUUCCUUUCCAUGAUUGAUAGGCUACCAGAUCUCCAUUUUGUGUUUGAAGGAGUUGCAGCAUAUCUAAUAGAGGAUUUUCCACACUUUUGAAAAGAACUGGAGCCAUUUGUGAACCACACUGAAUAACCUGUGGCACGAAGUCGAUAGCAGAGCUUUUAUCUGGUGAGAGACGCAUAAACAGGACUUCAGCUGUCUGUGAUCCAAGACACAGUUGUGUCACCAUCUCUCAGACUUGUGAGGAAAUUGCUAAAUUCUGAGCAAGAACUACAAAGAAAUUGAUAAAGGAGACUUCUGCAAGAUGGGUUGUGUUUUCCUGGAUUAGACUUAGAAGAUUGGAAAAGAAGCAAAAGAGUAAAACAAUCCUUUGGUGUUAUUUGGUUUCUUUCUCACUGUGUAUGCAAGAAUGGACUC